rnacentral:lncRNA from 1 species
CGUUACUGCAUUAAAAAUUUAGGUAGUUCGGCACCAAAGCACAUUAGAUUGCUUGCAAGUUAUUAUGGUGAUCUCAGAUCUGAAGGACAUUUAUAUCCAUGUAUUUCACGAGCAGCUCUUGACAGCAGAAUGCUCAGCAGGUGAGUCACUUGUUUCGUGAUGAUGUACCCUGAUAUCUCACCUGUAUGCCAUACCAGUGUCACUACACUCCU